GCUGGGUGUGGUGGUGUACACCUGUAAUCCCAGCUACUUGGGAGGCUGAGGCAGGAGGCUCCUUUGAGACCAGGAGUUCCAGUUUACAGUGAGCUGUGAUCAUGCCAUUGCACUCCAGUUUGGGCAACAAAGUGAGACCCUGUCUCUU
ensembl:misc_RNA Metazoa_SRP Metazoan signal recognition particle RNA